rnacentral:rRNA from 1 species
GACGAACGCUGGCGGCGUGCUUAACACAUGCAAGUCGAACGGUGAAGCGAGUGCUUGCACUCGUGGAUCAGUGGCGAACGGGUGAGUAACACGUGAGUAACCUGCCCAUCACUCUGGGAUAAGCACUGGAAACGGUGUCUAAUACUGAAUACGACCACCCCUUCCAUGGGGUGUUGGGGGAAAGUUUUAUCGGUGAUGGAUGGACUCGCGGCCUAUCAGCUUGUUGGCGGGGUAAUGGCCCACCAAGGCGACGACGGGUAGCCGGCCUGAGAGGGUGACCGGCCACACUGGGACUGAGACACGGCCCAGACUCCUACGGGAGGCAGCAGUGGGGAAUAUUGCACAAUGGGCGAAAGCCUGAUGCAGCGACGCCGCGUGAGGGAUGACGGCCUUCGGGUUGUAAACCUCUUUCAGCAGGGAAGAAGCGAAAGUGACGGUACCUGCAGAAGAAGCACCGGCUAACUACGUG